CAGCGGCGCACGGGUGAGUAACACGUAGGUAACCUACCUUUGAGCCCGGGAUAACCUACCGAAAGGUGGGCUAAUACCGGAUAUGACCACGGGAGUCUCGGCUCCUGCGGUGAAAGAUGGCCUCUGCUUGAACGCUAUCACUCGAAGAGGGGCCUGCGCGCCAUUAGCUAGUUGGCGGGGUAACGGCCCACCAAGGCUCUGAUGGCUAGCUGGUCUGAGAGGAUGACCAGCCACACUGGGACUGAAACACGGCCCAGACUCCUACGGGAGGCAGCAGUAGGGAAUAUUGCGCAAUGGGCGAAAGCCUGACGCAGCGACGCCGCGUGGGUGAUGAAGGCCUUCGGGUCGUAAAGCCCUGUCGAGGGGGACGAACCGGCCGCGACCGAAUACGUCGCGGCCCUGACGGUACCCCUAAAGGAAGCACCGGCUAACUCCGUGCCAGCAGCCGCGGUAAUACGGAGGGUGCGAGCGUUGUUCGGAAUCACUGGGCGUAAAGCGCGUGUAGGCGGCCUGCUAAGUCUGAUGUGAAAGCCCGAGGCUCACCCUCGGAAGUGCAUUGGAAACUGGCAGACUGGAGUCCCGGAGAGGAGGGUGGAAUUCCUGGUGUAGCGGUGAAAUGCGUAGAUAUCAGGAGGAACACCGGUGGCGAAGGCGGCCCUCUGGACGGUGAC
rnacentral:rRNA from 1 species